GGGGUGAAGCACGAGAGCAACAUCCUAAUCAAGUUUGGCAUCUUCCCCAUUCUUCUCCCUGCCCCUAGGGUGUGCAUCCUGCAUUCCUGGGGGCUCAGUACCCUUAUUCAGUGACUCCUCCCUCACUUGCUGCCACUGCUGUGUCUUUCCCCGUUCCUUCCAUGGCACCCAUCACAGUACAUCCCUACCACACAGAGCCAGGGCUUCCACUGCCCACCAGUGUGGCCUUGAGCAGUGUCCAUCCAGCAUCCACGUUUCCAGCCAUCCAGGGUGCCUCACUGCCUGCCCUGACCACACAGCCCAGCCCUCUGGUGAGCGGAGGUUUUCCACCACCCGAGGAGGAGACACACAGUCAGCCAGUCAAUCCCCACAGCCUGCACCAUCUGCAUGCUGCCUACCGUGUCGGAAUGCUGGCACUGGAGAUGCUGGGUCGCCGGGCACACAAUGAUCACCCCAACAACUUCUCCCGCUCCCCCCCCUACACUGAUGAUGUCAAAUGGUUGCUGGGGCUGGCAGCAAAGCUGGGAGAUCGUCAUGGAGACGCUGCAGCGGCUGAGUCCCGCUCAUGCCCACAACCACCUGCGUGCCCCGGCCUUCCACCAACUGGUGCAGCGCUGCCAGCAGGCAUACAUGCAGUACAUCCACCACCGCUUGAUUCACCUGACUCCUGCGGACUACGACGACUUUGUGAAUGCGAUCCGGAGUGCCCGCAGCGCCUUCUGCCUGACGCCCAUGGGCAUGAUGCAGUUCAACGACAUCCUACAGAACCUCAAGCGCAGCAAACAGACCAAGGAGCUGUGGCAGCGGGUCUCACUCGAGAUGGCCACCUUCUCCCCCUGAGUCUUUCACCCUUAGGGUCCUAUACAGGGACCCAGGCCUGUGGCUAUGGGGGCCCCUCACACAGUGGGAGUGAAACUUGGCUGGACAGAUCAUCCUCACUCAGUUCCCUGGUAGCCCAGACUGACAGCUGCUCUUGGGCUGUAGCUUGGGGCCAAGAUGUCUCAGACCCUAGAAGCCUAGGGCUGGGGGAGACAGCC
rnacentral:lncRNA from 1 species